rnacentral:tRNA from 1 species
AUAAAGAUGGCAGAAAAGUGCAUUAGGUUUAAGCCCUAAAUAUAAAGACUUAAACUCUUUUCUUUAUA